GAAAACGGCUAUGACGUUAUUAGACCACCAAACAGAAAUGGAUCACACGGUGGAACAUACGAAGAACUGCAACACCGGAAAGAGGAACACAGAUAUGAAGAACUUUCAGACCCAAAAAG